CCUCGACCUUCCCUGACUGACGCGCCCGGUGCGCAUGAGCGCCUCUGCCCUUCUCCCCCUCCCUUUGCUGUUUGGGAUGAAAAUGGGACGCGUCCCCUAUGCGGAUAGGGCUAUUGGUCUGGCCGGGAAGACUAAGAAGAGUGUCUUCGCUNCUGUCAGCUAUAGGAAACUGCAAAGCGCCUUUCCUACUUUGGGACUGCAGCAAACCAGAGCUGCUAAACGGUGGCAGACAGAGGCUGGACUAACACCGUUUUAUUUAGGCGUUGCCCACAUACGAAAAGCGCGCGCAGCUCCUGUUAGCAGGGGUUGUCCGCUUGCCAGUCUAAAGUCCAUAUGGUUGGAACAGACAGCAUGGUUGUACUGGCACAUAGAUGUUAAUUGAGAAGCUUUUUAUAUAUAAAUAACAGGACACCAAGGAGAUUGAUCCUGAGAACAAUAAGUUUCAAUCAUCAGUAAAACUGGAAGUUAUGCAUUUGAGUUCAUAUAUACUUUGCUUACAUCUCAGUUCCUGAAAUUUUGCAUGGAAGUAACUUGGGCGAUGUGCUUACAUGUAUUUUAGAGUGAAAUGUGGUGAAAAAUUCAUGCAUGUACCAUCACCCUUGAUAGGCAACACAAUUAUCACCACCUGACUAUAAAGCAUCUCAUGAGAAUUUAUUCUGUAUAAUCUAUGUAUUGUAAUCAUAGACUCAAAUCUGCCAGUUUUGACAAUGCAGAAUAAAAAAUGAGGACUAUAGCUAUAGGUUAUUGUC
rnacentral:lncRNA from 1 species